UACGUAGGGACCGAGCGUUGUCCGGAAUCACUGGGCGUAAAGCGCACGUAGGCGGAUUUGUCAGUCAGGGGUGAAAUCCCGGGGCUCAACCUCGGAACUGCCUUUGAUACAGCAAGUCUUGAGUUCGAGAGAGGUGGGUGGAAUUCCUAGUGUAGAGGUGAAAUUCGUAGAUAUUAGGAAGAACACCGGUGGCGAAGGCGGCCCACUGGCUCGAUACUGACGCUGAGGUGCGAAAGCGUGGGGAGCAAACAGG
rnacentral:rRNA from 1 species